CCCUUAGAUGUUCUGGGCCGCACGCGUGCUACACUGAGUGGAUCAGCGGGUCAGGUUGCGCGAAAGUGUUUCCUAAUCUUUAAAUCCGCUCGUGAUGGGGAUUGACGGUUGCAAUUUUCCGUCAUGAACGAGGAAUACCUUGUAAGCGUGGGUCAUCAUCCCGCGCUGAAUACGUCCCUGCCCUUUGUACACACCGCCCGUCGCUCCUACCGAUUGAGUGGUCCGGUGAGGCUUUGGGAUCUGAGCGGAAAGAGCGUUUCGCUGUUUCUGCUCGGAAAACUCAGUCGAACCUUAUCAUUUAGAGGAAGGAGAAGUCGUAACA
rnacentral:rRNA from 1 species